GGUUCCUUGCCGCUGUCGCCUCUGGCUUGCUCAGUUGGGGACACUUAAUUUCUAGCGAUUAUCGCCGAUUUGAUUGCACAGAUACUAUUUAAACUAAACUGAGCUAGACAAUGACAUCUCUGAAUUCAAUAAUGAAAUGCCUUUAACUGAAAAUUGAGUGUUUAAUCUUAUCAUUAUACAUUACUGACACUCUAUCCUCCAAUUUGAUACUGUUAAGUGCUUUGACACAAUCUGUAUUGUAAAAGCGCUAUAUAAAUAAAGGUGACUUGACUUGUUAGUGUAAAGUAAAUACAUUUCUUUAAAUUAAAUUAAAAAUAUUGGUUCCCAUUGUCACGUGACUUCUAACGUCAUCCGUGGUCGUGCGUGAGGACGUUCAGUUUUCCGCCAUCUUGUUACACCGCGUGGAUGAACUCGGCGUGGAAAAACGGGAAUCAAGAAAAUUGACAAGAGAUUGAGGAAAACCAACCUAGUGUUCAAGAACUGCAAGAAAGAUGGCCAGCUCUGUUUCAACAAGAGAAGAUUAAUUUUUUCGCAUCAGGACCUUACCUUUACAAUCGAGAUUUAUGACCUCUUUGGACAGACAGAGCUCUCAGCUUCUCCAGGUUAUUAGGAGCAAAGGUGGAGUCCUCCGUUAAAAAAAACUAAGGACACUAUUAAAGUUAUGGAUCAGAGUCUGGACAUAGACAUCAGAAGAGAGUGCCUGCUGAAGUGCCUGAUCAUGUACCUUGGUGAAGAUGCAAGCUGUCUGAUCAAAGAAUACCAGGCUGACCAGAGGGAGGAAGCAGAGAGAAUUUGAAAAGACCACCAUGGCAUUUUUUGUGAUCCGUGAAAGUGAUGCUCUUAGUCGUGCACCGGACAUUUCCAUUGUCAUUGACGGUGUGGAAGAACUAAAUGAGUUGCCCUCUGUUGCAUGUGCCUGUGCCAUGAUGUUUGGACUCAUUUAUGCACUGAACUUAAAAUAUCCUGAAGGACUCAAAUAUGCCUUUCAAAAAAUAAUCAUGAACAUGGAGAGUAAGCAGAUUAGAUGAAGGGCGCAGAACCUCUCUUCAAAGCUGCAGGAGUAAUUUUGUUUCCUUUGACCCAGCUACAAUGUUCUGCUGAUGGUAAAUUUCUUUGAAGAUGUUGGACUGUAUAAAGCCUUUUAUACAAAGUUAACUGUACUACUGUUUACAACCUGAUUUGUUUUAUCUUGGUUAAGUUGUGUUUUAUCUUGGGUUAGUUAAAUAGUUUACCCAAAAAUGAAAAUUCUUAGGUUGUUUACUCAUCCUUAAGCUAUUCAAGUAUUUAACUUUAAUUAAAUUAGGUUCAGAGACAUUUUAUGCCAAUUAUGAGAGAAGUUUAAUUUUUGGGUAAACUAUUCCAUGAAGGUGAAUUUUUUUUAUUUUAUUUUAUUCUUUCUACCAUUGGCUAUAAUUUGGUAGGUGUUUUAUUAAGUGUUUGGUUUUACACUGCCCAUUUUAAACCAGUUUUUGGGCCAAACUUGUUUUAACUUCAGAAGAAUUCUAAAGGUUUGAUUGUGUAGUCAGUUCUAAGUGACUGUUCAUGGAAAAAUUGCAUGAUUCUCCUCGAAACCAUAACUGAUUCUUAUGGUGAAUUUACAUUGAAUCCAGUGUGUCUAUGUAUAUGGAUACUAAAAACUGUUAUACAGUAUGUGUUUUUAUAACAAUACUAUACACAUUGUAGAAAUAUUUUUACAAAUUGUGAAGUUUAUGUGUUUACAUUGUUAGUGUGUAUGAGGAUACUGUACACAUUGUAAAAAAUUGUAUUAUGACACAAUAAAUUGUCAAAAGUU